GACGAACGCUGGCGGCGUGCUUAACACAUGCAAGUCGAACGGAAAGGCCCUGCUUUUUUGGGGUGCUCGAGUGGCGAACGGGUGAGUAACACGUGAGUAACCUGUCCUUCACUUUGGGAUAACUUCAGGAAACUGGGGCUCAUACCGCAUAGGAGCUCCUGCUGCUUGGUGGGGGUUGGUAAGUUUCGGUGGUUGGGGAUGGACUCGCGGCUCAUCAGCUUGUUGGUGGGGUAGUGGUUUACGAAGGCUUUGACGGGUAGCCGGACUGGGAGGGUGAGCAGCCACAGUGGGACUGGGAUACGGCCACGACUCCUACGGGUGGGAGAGGUGGGGGAGAUGGAAAAAGGGGUGGGGGCGAGAUGCAGAAACGGCGUGGGCGGGAGGACGGUGUUGGGGUUGGAAACCGAUUGCGCUCAUGACGGAGAUGUGUGUGACGGUAGUGGGUGAAGAAGCACCGGCUAACUACAUG
rnacentral:rRNA from 1 species